rnacentral:rRNA from 1 species
AACGCAACUUGCGCCCUUUGGCAUUCCGAAGGGCACGCCUGUUUGAGUGUCGUAAAUUCCUCCAACCUAGCAGCUUUCAUUGGUUGUCAGGCUGGGAUUUUGAGGGUCUUUGCGGGUCUUUUUCAAGUUCCGCUCCCUUUGAAGAAAUUAGUGGAAGGCCUCUUGGGGCUCCGGUGUGAUAAGCUAUCUGCGCCGUCGCUUCGAGAACUUUAAAGGCUUGCCGCUGAAAACCGUCCUUGCACUUAUGGACAACUUUUCUUUUUGAACUUGACCUCAAAUCAGGCGGGACUACCCGCUGAACUUAA